UUUUUUGAGGGAAGCACCCCCAUGGAAUUUUUUUUUUGCAUAAAGUGAAUAUAUAUUUUAAAUUAAGUGUAUACAUUAAACUAAUUCUGCAACAAAGUGCAGGAAUUAGUGGAUAAAGCAAGACAUUUCAGAUAGUAACCAAUCAACCUAACAAAAUCAUUUUACUUUAGGGAUUACAACAUGAUAAAGAGGAGAAAAAAGAUACCAGAAUGGUAAGUAUUGCAUCACAGUUGGACUACUAGACCUGUUGUGUAAUUUUUUUAGGUCCCAUCAAGUAAAUUUAGCCAGAAACUGGAUAUGCUGUGCUACUGCUUCUGGCUGUUGUUAUUGGUACUGUUCUUUUUCUGUAUAACAGCUUUCUUGAGAUAAAAUGUAUACAUCAUAAAAGUUGUGAUGGUUAAUAUUGACUGUCAACUCGAUUGGAUUAAAGGAUGCAAAGUAUUGGUCUUGGGUGCGUCUGUGAGAGUGUUGCCAAAGGAGAUUAACAUUUGAGUCAGUGGGCUGGGAGAGGCAGACCCACCCUCAAUCUGGGUGGACACCAUCUAAUCAGCUGCCAGCACAGCUAGAAUAAAAGUAGGCAGAGGAAUAUGGAAGAAGUAGACUAGCUGAGUCUUCUGGCCUCCAUCUUUCUCCUGUGCUAGAUGCUUCCUGCCCUUUAACAUCGGACUCCGAGUUCUUCAGCUUUUGGAUUCUGGAUCUAUACCAAUGGUUUGCCAGGGUCUCUUGGACCUUUGGCCACACACUGAAGGCUGCACUAUUGGCUUCCCUACUUUUGAGGUUUUGGGACUCAGACUGGCUUCCUUGUUCUCCUCAGCUUGUAGAUGGCCUAUUGUGUGACUUCACCUUGUGAUCAUAGCUUACAAAAAGCUUGAUUGAAAAGAGAAGAGAAUGGAACACGGUAUGAUGACAACAAAGAGAAAAGGAGCCAAGAUUAGUCUGGACAGUAUGCAGACAUUGACUCUGCUUUGAGGACAGAGCUGGAAUUAAUUUCACGUGCACCACAUAAGGUAAAGAAAACAGCUUCAGACCAUGAUUAUCUACGAUAUGGGGUCUGGGUUUGCAGAUUAAUUUUAACAUAAGAAAAUGAAGUGACAGCUGAGGAUCUUUCAUGACACACUGCUGAGCUGCUGAAUGAAGUAUGCAUGGUCAGUAUAAAGGAUGGGGUGGACCAGAAAAGCUCCUUUGUCAGUUUCUUUGUUAUAGAAUUAAGAAAAAUGUAUGUGUGUGUAUAUAUGAGUGUGUAUACACAUGUGUUUUAUGUAAAAUAUAUAUUUUAAAAGAUGGAAAAUUUAUUAAUUAACAUCAAGCAAGAGCCAUAACAAUAUUUAGAUAAAAAUCUUUCCUGUGGGUCUUCUCAUUGUCUUGAAUCUUUU
rnacentral:lncRNA from 10 species